rnacentral:rRNA from 1 species
CCUACGCCCUUCCAGAGGGGGACAACAGUUGGAAACGACUGCUAAUACCGCAUACGAUCUAACCUCGGCAUCGAGGAAAGAUGAAAGGUGGCCUCUAUUUAUAAGCUAUCACUGAAGGAGGGGAUUGCGUCUGAUUAGCUAGUUGGAGGGGUAACGGCCCACCAAGGCGAUGAUCAGUAGCCGGUCUGAGAGGAUGAACGGCCACAUUGGGACUGAGACACGGCCCAG